AUUGAACGCUGGCGGCAGGCUUAACACAUGCAAGUCGAACGAGUGGCGGACGGGUGAGUAAUGUCUGGGAACCUGCCCGGUGGAGGGGGAUAACUACUGGAAACGGUAGCUAAUACCGCAUACCAUCGGAUGUGCCCAGAUGGGAUUAGCUAGUUGGUGGGGUAAAGGCUCACCUAGGCAACGAUCCCUAGCUGGUCUGAGAGGAUGACCAGCCACACUGGAACUGAGACACGGUCCAGACUCCUACGGGAGGCAGCAGUGGGGAAUUUUGGACAAUGGGCGAAACCCUGAUGCAGCCAUGCCGCGUGUAUGAAGAAGGCCUUCGGGUUGUAAAGUACUUUCAGCGGAGAAGCGUUACCCGCAGAAGAAGCACCGGCUAACUCCGUGCCAGCAGCCGCGGUAAUUC
rnacentral:rRNA from 1 species